rnacentral:rRNA from 1 species
AAACCAACAGGGAUUGCCUCAGUAGCGGCGAGUGAAGCGGCAAGAGCUCAGAUUUGAAAUCGUGUUUCGGCACGAGUUGUAGAGUGUAGGCUGGAGUCUCUGUGGAGCGCGGUGUCCAAGUCCCUUGGAACAGGGUGCCUGAGAGGGUGAGAGCCCCGUGGGGUGCUGCGCGAAGCUUUGAGGCCCUGCUGACGAGUCGAGUUGUUUGGGAAUGCAGCUCUAAGCGGGUGGUAAAUUCCAUCUAAGGCUAAAUAUUGGCGAGAGACCGAUAGCGAACAAGUACUGUGAAGGAAAGAUGAAAAGCACUUUGAAAAGAGAGUGAAACAGCACGUGAAAUUGUUGAAAGGGAAGGGUAUUGGGCCCGACAUGGGGAGUGCGCACCGCUGUCUCUUGUAGGCGGCGCUCUGGGCGCUCUCUGGGCCAGCAUCGGUUCUUGCUGCGAGAGAAGUGGUGCCGGAAAGUGGCUCUUCGGAGUGUUAUAGCCGGUGCCGGAUGUCGCGUGCGGGGACCGAGGGCUGCGACAUCUGUCUCGGAUGCUGGCACAACGGCGCAAUACCGC